UGGGUUAUGAGCUCCCAUUUUUACCCCAUAUACAGAUUGCAGAAUCACAUCAGUUACACAUCCAUUGAUUUACAUAUUGCCAUAUCCUUUAUUUCAAAGAUCAGUCUAACUAUGUACUUUCUAAACUUCUUCUCUGGCAUUUCUUCUACUAUGUUGUCUAUGGAUUCUGUUGCUGGAACAUCUUGGUUUGAUUGAGGUGCUUUGUUCUCUUGUUUUUUCAAGUUGUUUUUGUGUCCAUCUAGCGGUAUGGAUCUGAGGCAGUACAGUUUCUUAUAGUGUCCCUGCAGGCUUCUAGUACCUCACCUUUGAGGGGGAGACCAAUAUUAACAGCACCCAAUGCAAGCAAUAUACAACCUUAAACCAAAUAGCUCCUAUUAAGGAGCUACAGUUUUGUCUCAGUAAACAGAAAUGAUGUGUUCAAUUAUUGUCUACAAUAUAAACAGUAAGUUUGCUAAAAGGGUUUACUAUUUCAAAUGCUGGACAGAAGGAACAGAAGUAGUGGAGGAUGUGAUGUUUAUGAGGGAGGAGAGAAGAUAGAGGUAAAAAUUUAUAGUAAGAGCAAAGAAGGAAUUAGUAGAGGUUGGCUGUUUAGCAUGAGAGAAGUGAGAAAGAGAAUCCAGGGAGACAGAAGUGAAAGAAAAAAAUAUAGAUUUUUUUUUUUAAAGUAAAAAUUUAAGAAUACAAAACCAAACUUUGAUAUACUAGUCAGACAUCCCACUCCUCAAUAAACUGAUGCAUGAAAAAUAUUUGAAUUCAUACAUGGUAGAGAUGUGAGAAAAAGGGAAAAAGAAAGAAAAAAAAAAGGAAAGUCUCUAUGGAAAGUUGAACAGUUGCUUCCAUUGGCUUUCAAAAAUUUUCUCAGCUUUUCUUUUCCGCCAAUAGGUGGGAUUUUCUAAAGUUUGAUGGUAGCUCCGCAGUCUGAUAGCAGGAUGCCCUCAUACCCUCUUCUAACCUUUGCACUUGUAGCUAGGCCCUUCUGUCCCAGGGCACUUCAGGAUUCCUGGUUCUUUCCAGUUUCUCCAACCUGUGUGCUCCCCACCCCAGGGAACUGCCCCAAGACUCUGGCUUUCCACAGGCUUGCCAGGCCCAGACUGGCCCACACAGACCCAUCUGCAAUCUGAUGGACCUGGGCUUCAGAUUCCCCAGGCUCUGCCUUGCUGCAGUCCCAAGAUCUCAAUGCUAUUCCAACUAUCAGAAAGACUACCAGGGAUGUGCUCACACAAAGGAGCCACCCUGCAAAGAGGCAGCCAGAUCACGGCUACUAGCACACCCAGCAAGUGCAUCCAGACCUACAGGUAUCCUGAUGAUAUAUCUCUAGGACCUGACUAGUAUCUCCAGACUGAGGCAGCCAGCCCUGAGAUGCAGUGGUGGCAGUAGCAAACCUUCAGGCCCCUUGGCCCUAGACUCCCAGGCCCUGGCCAGUUUCCCAAGAUGGCUGCAAUCAUGUCUAACUUAACCUGAAGGUACCCUGACAAUGGACUUCUGGGCAGCAAUGGGCCCGGCAGUCUGCCAGCAAAGGGUGGGCAUUUGGCUGGCUAAAGGCAUAGAUGAGCAGGUAAAAGGCAGGCAAACGGGCAGCCAGUGGGCAGUCAGUGGAAGUAGCCACUGAUCAGCACCCAAAAGGCAUGUGGUAUACUGGAAAAGGGGCUGGCGGACAAAGUAGGGGCAAACAGCAGGGGAUCAGUGGGCAGCAAGGGCUGUCUCUCAGAGAAACAGUAUUUCACCUGCUUGUAUCCCAAGUCACAGAGCAACAAGGAAUACAGCCUCCCUCUAGUUCUCUUGGAUCUCUUCCUCCCUUUAUCUUUGAAUUUCGGUAAACUGUACCAGAAUGACUUAAUUAUUUGAUUUUUCCUGGAUACAUUUCCCUUUAAAUCUGAAGAUUCUUUCAUUCCAGUUCUGCCACUCACUGAAGUAUUUUCUUUGGCUAAUUACUCAGUUUUGUUGUGAGUGCAGUAAGGAUCAUGAUAAUCCUUAAACUAAUUCAAUUAUUGUGAACCUUAAAUGAGAUAAUGCAGGCUGGAGUUGUGGCUCAGUGGCUUAUAUAACUAAAAGUUAUAUAAGUACACUGAAAUAUCAAAACAUUUUCUUAGUUUAUUUCACAAUAAAGGAUGCAUUUAAUGUUUUGUGUUUGGUCUU
rnacentral:lncRNA from 1 species